AGUUUGAUCCUGGCUCANAACGUACGCUGGCGGCACGCCUAACACAUGCAAGUCGAACGCAGUAGCAAUACUGAGUGGCGAACGGGUGAGUAUAAUGUAGGUAUCUGCCUUUUGGUUUGGAAUAACACGAGGAAACUUGUGCUAAUACCGGAUAAGCCUUCACAGGGAAAGUUUUAACGCCAAAAGAUGAGCCUGCACUUGAUUAGCUAGUUGGUAAGGUAAUGGCUUACCAAGGCUACGAUCAAUAGCUGUUCUUAGAGGAAGAUCAGCCACAUUGGGACUGAGACACGGCCCAAACUCCUACGGGAGGCAGCAG
rnacentral:rRNA from 1 species